UACGUAGGGACCAAGCGUUGUUCGGAUUUACUGGGCGUAAAGGGCGCGUAGGCGGUCAGCACAAGUCAGUUGUGAAAUCUCCGGGCUUAACUCGGAAAGGUCAACUGAUACUGUGCGACUAGAGUGCGGAAGGGGCAACUGGAAUUCUCGGUGUAGCGGUGAAAUGCGUAGAUAUCGAGAGGAACACCUGCGGCGAAGGCGGGUUGCUGGGCUGAUACUGACGCUGAGGCGCGAAAGCCAGGGGAGCGAACGGG
rnacentral:rRNA from 1 species